GACGUGCGCAGGCGGUUAUGUAAGACAGAUGUGAAAUACCCCGGGCUCAACCUGGGAACUGCAUUAGUGACUGCAUAGCUGGAGUACGGCAGAGGGGGAUGGAAUUCCGCGUGUAGCAGUGAAAUGCGUAGAUAUGCGGAGGAACACCGAUGGCGAAGGCAAUCCCCUGGGCCUGUACUGACGCUCAUGCACGAAAGCGUGGGGAGCAAACAGGAUUAGAUACCCCCAGU
rnacentral:rRNA from 1 species